UAGUCUUUAUAUUUACAUAGAAAAAACUGAAAGUAGGAUCUCUGUUCCUAAACUGGAAGACUGGGUGAGAGGGGGAGAGAGAAAGCAAGGCUACCAGCCAUCUUACACAGUGCAAGGAAUGGUCCCCAAUCCAUCUUGAUAAACUAGUGUUUCAGAAUGCUAUUCAGAAGACAGCACAGCAGAAGGCUACGAAGCUGGUCUGCUGCAUUUGUGGCACACUUCCUGGAAGAGUGACAGACGUGUCAUCCUUCUGUUUUGUUUUGUGUUUUUGUUGAGUCACAUUGGAGACCUUCCAGACUCCUUAACAAAUAAGACGAGGCUCAUAAAUUACCUUUACCAGCAAGAAUAAAACAGCCCCCUGCACACCUGCCUACCAGGCUUGUCCAACUUGAACACUGGUGAGGUCAGUCUGCUAG